CUUUUUUCUUUCUGUAUACUUGUAGGGACUAAGAAUGUAGCAAAAGCAAUGACAUCUAUAGCAACAGGAGCAAAAAAAGGGCAGGUAUAACUUGGUAUCCAGAACUGUCAGAUCAGAGAAAGAGUGCGAAGACACAUCUGUAUUACAGUAUGAAGAACUACAGUAAGUCUCCAGAGAAUCUGAGAGACUCAAUAACAAAUAUUGUUGAUCAUUAUCCAGGUAAUCACUCCAACUGCAAUCAGUCAUCUAGCUGUAGACGUCCUAGGUAUGCACCAUCAAAGAAGUUAAUAACUGACCCCAAUGCAGUGGACGCAUACACUAGGAUGUUGAAGCAAACCUUGAUAUGUAAAUGCUGAAUCAUAC